rnacentral:rRNA from 1 species
UACGUAGGGUGCGAGCGUUGUCCGGAUUUACUGGGCGUAAAGGGCGCGUAGGCGGCAAUUCAAGUCAUCUGUGAAAUCUCUGGGCUUAACCCAGAACGGCCAGGUGAUACUGCUUUGCUAGAGUGCGGAAGGGGCAAUCGGAAUUCUUGGUGUAGCGGUGAAAUGCGUAGAUAUCAAGAGGAACACCUGAGGUGAAGACGGGUUGCUGGGCCGACACUGACGCUGACAGCGCAAAAGCCAGGGGAGCAAACGGG